UGUGGAUUAUCUUGUCAAUCGAAAUUUUAAUAUAAUAAUUUUCAAACUAAAAUAUAAAAUUCAAACAAAGAAAAAGUAAAUGCUUAUGUCACAAUUGGAAACCGGACCGCAGAUUAAAAGAUUUUUUUACAACUAUAUUCAAAUCAAGUGAAAUAGAGCAGAAAUAUGGCCAAAUGAAUACAAAACCAGAUAAGACAAGAAAGCUGAAGAUAAAAAUAAGCAAACAGUCCUUCAUAAAUGGUAAAGAAAGAACGCUUGUGAAUAAUCAAGAAGAAAUAAAAAACGAGAGAAAAGUAAUGAGUCAAAAGUCAUCACCAAACAUUGCCGAGAGAAGAAACACUACAAAUUUACUGUAUUGGAUUUGAAUGGCUCCACUCUUUAUUUGCCAGUGAAAUUCAAUAAACAACAAAAACCAAUUGCUUCUUGAGCGAUCUGCCAGUCAGCCGGGCGCGCUCCCUCUGGCACAGCAACGACGAGCGGUCAGUCACUAGCAGCAGUUGCUGUAUGGAUUGUACAUCAUGUACUCGCAGUUGCAACAAAUGCUCAGUCAUGUACCAAUUUGUAGCACUUGCAGCAACUAAUCAAAAGCAAGCAGCUGUUGCAAAUGCACUAAAUGAAUGAAUAGUUUACGUCCGUUGCCGGCUACUAUGGCUAGUGCACGGUGGCUGUUGACUGCUGGCUGGUGCGCACUCUAAAAAUUGACGAGCUGUAAUUUUUCGCAAAUGCUUGCAUUUGUAACAACUGUAGUCAAAAGCGAGAGCAUAACUAUUCAUUUCCAGCAGAUUGUUGUGCAGUGUUGCACUUUGAUUUGCAUGUAUCACAUAAGCUGCAUUUCCCAGAAUUUCUGAUUAACCCUUUUUUGAUUUAAAAUCUGUGCGAAAUCGUAAAAGUUUCACAGUUCAUGGAAGCAUGUGGUGCACCGACACACAUUGCGCUUUCUUCGCUGGAUUCAUUGAGCUACAUUGAAUUCGGUGGAAGUACCGAUAUGAAGUGAGAGUAUAAAAGUAACAAACUAAGAGACUCUUAUUUUAAAAUAUACUAUCUAUUACUUUUAAUUCAUUCACGACUCACGACUCACAAAUGGUAAGUAAAAACAGCAAAGAAGCCACCUGAAUACCUUCGAGAAACAAAAGCAUCAAGAUAAAAGUAAUAUUUCACUUCAGAUGAAAUAGCAGAAGUAAUGAAACUUUACGAAGUUCUAUACACCAGUGUUCCAACUGGGAUUUAAACCAACCUACAGAAAUAUAAAUUAAUUAUGAUUGUGAGUGCUACAAGUAUUAGGUUGAACUUAAGUGCCCACUAGACCAUACAGAAAGAAACUGGAACAAAAGUACUAAACUUAGGUUUAGGCCUAUAAAAAACUGGCUAGAGGGAACUGAAAAUGCUGGGGUUUCUUCCUCCAGAAUCAAAGCAAUAGAGGAAGUAAAAGGUUCAUAUGUUUUCUUACUAUUUUUGAUCAAUUUCAAUUCCGUUCAAUUUUUCAAUUAUUUCGGUGUUUAUUUAAAUUUUUAUGGCACUAAAGCUUGCGGGGCCUCUGCAACUUACGCAUAAAAUUUAUAAAUUUCACAGUACUUUGAGGUUACUGUUACACCAAUUAAAAAAAUUGAAUUAAAUAUAAAUUCCAGCAGCAGAGAAAAGAAAA